GUGGGGAAUCUUAGACAAUGGGGGAAACCCUGAUCUAGCCAUGCCGCGUGAGCGAUGAAGGCCUUAGGGUUGUAAAGCUCUUUCAGCUGGGAAGAUAAUGACUGUACCAGCAGAAGAAGCCCCGGCUAACUCCGUGCCAGCAGCCGCGGUAAUACGGAGGGGGCUAGCGUUGUUCGGAAUUACUGGGCGUAAAGCGCACGUAGGCGGACCGGAAAGUCAGAGGUGAAAUCCCAGGGCUCAACCUUGGAACUGCCUUUGAAACUCCUGGUCUUGAGGUCGAGAGAGGUGAGUGGAAUUCCGAGUGUAGAGGUGAAAUUCGUAGAUAUUCGGAGGAACACCAGUGGCGAAGGCGGCUCACUGGCUCGAUACUGACGCUGAGGUGCGAAAGCGUGGGGAGCAAACAGGAUUAGAUACCCGUGUAGUCC
rnacentral:rRNA from 1 species